ACUCUCUUAGUAUAACUAAUACCACUGACUUCCAAUUAGUAAAUUCUGAUAUAAUCUCAGAAGAGAGUA
rnacentral:tRNA from 2 species